rnacentral:rRNA from 1 species
GAAUCAAUCAAAUUGCUGACCUAUCAACUUUCGAUGGUUGGAUAGAGGCCUACCAUGGUGGUAACUAGUAACAGGGGUUUAUGGGCAGACGCCGGAGAGGGAGCCUGAGAAACGGCUACCACAUCCAAGGAUGGCAGCAGGCGCGCAAAUUACCCAAUCCCGACCGGGGAGGUAGUGACAAUAAAUAACAAUACGGGGUCCUUUCGGGUUUCGGAAUUGGAAUGAGUACAAUUUAAAUCUCUUAACGAGGAACGAUUGGAGGGCAAGUCUGGUGCCAGCAGCCGCGGUCAUUCCAGCUCCAAUAGCGUAUAUUAAAGUUGUUGCAGUUAAAAAGCUCGUAGUUG